rnacentral:tRNA from 1 species
GAGAGGUGGCAGAGCGGUUGAUUGCACCGGUCUUGAAAACCGGCGUGGGUUAGCGCCCACCGUGGGUUCGAAUCCCACCCUCUCC